UACGUAGGGCGCAAGCGUUAUCCGGAAUUAUUGGGCGUAAAGGGUGCGUAGGCGGCGCGGUAAGUCGGGUGUGAAAUCUCGGAGCUUAACUCCGAAACUGCAUUCGAUACUGCCGUGCUUGAGGACUGGAGAGGAGACUGGAAUUUACGGUGUAGCAGUGAAAUGCGUAGAUAUCGUAAGGAAGACCAGUGGCGAAGGCGAGUCUCUGGACAGUUACUGACGCUGAGGCACGAAG
rnacentral:rRNA from 1 species